CUUGAGGGUUUUGUAUAUAUGCAGUCUAGGUCAAGGUUUUUCCUUUCAGUUCAGCACAUUCAUUUUAGUUUUAGUUUUUAAUAGAAAUCAGUUGACAAUGAACAAGACCUCUGAGCUUUCAUCAGCUGCAUUGAGCAUGUUAUGAAUCAAAUUGACUAUCUCUCAACAGAGAAGAGUCUUCAAGAAGGCAGAAGAUAGAGAGAGGUCAUGAAUUGUGGCUGUGGGAGGAGGAACAGGUCGUGAAGGUGUGUUGCUGAGGGCCCCGUGGACGGAUUGGAGAAAGCAUGGCAGCGACUGUCAAGGGCAGUGUCUGGGAAGAUCGGUAAUGGAUAUUACAAAGGGGAUUGGCUUCUUGGAUUCCUGUAAAGAUGUUCAUCUGUCCAACUGCCUGUCGCUGGGCUCCAGCCAAUCAGUUCGCAAGUCCGGAAAUAAUAAAUGUUGAUCUGUCAUCAGUGGUGAGCAAACGCAUGUAUGCGAAACCUCAUGCCAGUCAUCGAUGUGACAUAUUGUAAACAAAGGACUGGAUCUGAGAUGUUCCUUAACUCACAGACACAGAACACAGGUUACAUCACAUCUGCCUUAAUCCAGAACAAAUAAAGAAAUGCAUUGUAUUUUUUAAUCAUGACAUGCUUUUUUCGUGAAAGCAGUAAAAUAAUUUUAAUGCAAUGCUCAAUUAUAUCACUUAGAUAAAUCAUUGGGAGAUAUGGCAAGUUAAUCAGUUCAAGAACCCUGGUUAUGCGACUGCAAUGUGAGGCAUGUGAAGAAUUGCACCUUCGUUUGGCAUGUGAAGAAAUGUUAAUGAGCAACUAAAUUAGCAUUUCCUGAAAUAAAUACCAGUGCUUGUAAGAGAAUAGUGUUUCAGUUUUAGGUUUGAAUUACCGGUAGGUUUAGGUUUUUUCAGAGACACUUUAAUCUCAAUAUUCAUUUAAAAACUUAGCAGAUGUCACGUAAUGUGAUGUUGCCAUGUCAAAGCAGCUAUAGUGAAAAUAAAUUAAAUCAGUCAGCCAAGUUAAAAACAUUACAACCCCUUGAAAAGACUGUGUAUUCUAUAUUUUUAUUUGUUCAAAAUUUAAUAUGGCAUCUUACCUUAUGUAUAUUUCACACUGGUCUUUGCCUGUGCAAAACAUUGUUAUGGUGUUCUUUUAGUCUGUUGCUAGGGUAUUCUGCAUGGUUGCUAGGUGGUUACUUACUGUGCGUUCA